UACAGGGGGUGCAAACGUUGCUCGGAAUUAUUGGGCGUAAAGCGCGCGUAGGCGGCUACUUAAGUCGGAUGUGAAAGCCCCUGGCUCAACUGGGGAAGUGCACCCGAAACUGAGUGACUUGAGUGCGAAAGAGGGUCGCGGAAUUCCCGGUGUAGAGGUGAAAUUCGUAGAUAUCGGGAGGAACACCGGUGGCGAAGGCGGCGACCUGGGUCGACACUGACGCUGAGGCGCGAAAGCGUGGGGAGCAAACAGA
rnacentral:rRNA from 1 species